GCGGUCUAGUUUGAAACAACCAACUUGUUGGUUGAUUUUCAAACUAGACAUUUGGUUGUUUCAAAACCAAAGUUUGUUGUGUUAAAUCCAAAAUUUUGUUUGAACAGAACAUUUUUCCUAUGUAGUUUCAACCUAAUUUUUUGAUUCAAUGAAACCAAAAUUAUGAUUGUUUGAACCCGAAACAUAUAUUGUAUCAACCAUGACAUUUGUUUGUUUUAAACAACAUUCAAGUUGUUUUUGUCCGCCACGGACUAUAGAUUUCGAACCAAAAUAUUAGCUAAAUUCAACUGUAACUUAAGGUUGGAACAAACUAUGAAUUUGUUUGUGAUACAAGUCAAAUCAAAAGAUCAAAUAUGGAAAAUAAAUCAUAAUAAAUCAACUGAUAGAGUCGAUCCGAAAUUUGCAUAUUUUGGAUCAAUUUUAUUUGUAUAAUCAUCAGUAUAUAGAUCCACUUAUGAGCACAAAGGGAAAAAUGAUAGAUAUAUGACCCGGAUAUGCCUCCACUCUCCGAUUAAAAUUUGCAUCAACCUAAUUUCGACCAAAAGAUAUAGAUAUUUUCCAAAACUCAUGGCUGUUUAUCGGAGGUUGAACCUAGACGAGUCCUACUUGAGCUGCAGCAGUCGCAGUGCCAUAAUGAUCUCCAGCUCGAGCGGCUAUCUCAACAUGGAAUAUGAUUAUGUUGACGCUAUUUCGUUAUUUUUUAUAUAAAUCAUUGAAUUAUCAAUAAAAAGAACUAAAAUGCACGAAAUAUAAUUCAUUUAUACAAUAAAAGAAAAAAAACAGC